rnacentral:rRNA from 1 species
CCUGCCUAGUACUGGGGGAUAACACUUAGAAAUAGGUGCUAAUACCGCAUAAGCGCACAGUUCUGCAUGGAACAGUGUGAAAAACUGAGGUGGUAUAAGAUGGACCCGCGUCUGAUUAGCUAGUUGGUGGGGUAACGGCCCACCAAGGCGACGAUCAGUAGCCGGCCUGAGAGGGUGAACGGCCACAUUGGAACUGAGACACGGUCCAAACUCCUACGGGAGGCAGCAGUGGGGGAUAUUGCACAAUGGGGGAAACCCUGAUGCAGCGACGCCGCGUGAGUGAAGAAGUAUUUCGGUAUGUAAAGCUCUAUCAGCAGGAAAGAUAAUGACGGUACCUGACUAAGAAGCACCGGCUAAAUACGUGCCAGCAGCCGCGGUAAUACGUAUGGUGCAAGCGUUAUCCGGAUUUACUGGGUGUAAAGGGAGCGCAGACGGCAUGGCAAGCCAGAUGUGAAAGGUGGGGGCUCAACCCCCAAGCUGCAUUUGGAACUGUCAAGCUAGAGUAUCGGAGAGGUAAGUGGAAUUCCUAGUGUAGCGGUGAAAUGCGUAGAUAUUAGGAGGAACACCAGUGGCGAAGGCGGCUUACUG